UACGUAGGGUGCAAGCGUUAAUCGGAAUUACUGGGCGUAAAGCGUGCGCAGGCGGUUUUGUAAGUCUGAUGUGAAAUCCCCGGGCUCAACCUGGGAAUUGCAUUGGAGACUGCAAGGCUAGAAUCUGGCAGAGGGGGGUAGAAUUCCACGUGUAGCAGUGAAAUGCGUAGAGAUGUGGAGGAACACCGAUGGCGAAGGCAGCCUUCUGGGCCAACACUGACGCUCAUGCACGAAAGCGUGGGGAGCAAACAGG
rnacentral:rRNA from 1 species